AGAACGAACGCUGGCGGCAUGCCUAACACAUGCAAGUCGAACGAGACCUUCGGGUCUAGUGGCGCACGGGUGCGUAACGCGUGGGAAUCUGCCCUUAGGUUCGGAAUAACAGUUAGAAAUGACUGCUAAUACCGGAUAAUGUCUUCGGACCAAAGAUUUAUUGCCUAAGGAUGAGCCCGCGUAAGAUUAGCUUGUUAGUGAGGUAAAGGCUCACCAAGGCGACGAUCUUUAGCUGGUCUGAGAGGAUGAUCAGCCACACUGGGACUGAGACACGGCCCAGACUCCUACGGGAGGCAGCAGUGGGGGAAUAUUGGACAAUGGGCGAAAGCCUGAUCCAGCAAUGCCGCGUGAGUGAUGAAGGCCUUAGGUUGUAAAGCUCUUUUACCCGGGAUGAUAAUGACAGUACCGGAGAAUAAGCCCGGCUAACUCCGUGCCAGCAGCCGC
rnacentral:rRNA from 1 species